UGAUUAUCCACAGCUUUCUCGAUAAUCCUGUACUUAUAUUUUGAUAUAAAUACAGCUUCCUUAACGCUCAGAAAAUCAGAAACAUCAGGGAAAAUAGUGCUGCCAUACACGAUUUUGCAGAUCUAAUCUCCAUCACAAUCUUCGCAAAAUGAAGUUGUUCCACGUGGUUCUCGUAGCAUCAGCGUUGGUGGUGAUGAGUCUUAUGACUCCAGUCCUUGCCGAUCCCCGCCCCAGGGGAGGCCAUCUGCCACCCGGUCGCAAAUGAUUCCUCAUUUUUCAAAUUGUUUCAAUUUUUUAAAAUUAUUUUUUGUGUGUUGGUUUUUAAAUGAAACAAUGUAAUAAAAGCAAUUGCUUCUUGAGGAAUUGAAGUUUUUGAUCGAUUAAACCAUAUUACUGUACUACAAAAUUAAUGAUCCUUCAUUUCCAAGUUGUUUCAAAUUUUCAAUAAUUUUUUCUGUGUGUGUGUGUGUGUUUAAUUGAAACAAUGCAAUAAAAGCAUUUGCUACUUGA
rnacentral:lncRNA from 1 species